AUAGCGUAUAUUAAAGUUGUUGCAGUUAAAAAGCUCGUAGUUGAACCUUGGGCCUGGCUGGCCGGUCCGCCUCACCGCGUGCACUGGACCGGCCGGGCCUUUCCUUCUGGGGAAGCGCAUGGCCUUUACUGGCUGUGUCGGGGAACCAGGACUUUUACUUUGAAAAAAUUAGAGUGUUCAAAGCAGGCCUUUGCUCGAAUACAUUAGCAUGGAAUAAUGGAAUAGGACGGCCUUCCUAUUUUGUUGGUUUCUAGGAGAGCCGUAAUGAUUAAUAGGGACAGUCGGGGGUAUCAGUAUUCAAUUGUCAGAGGUGAAAUUCUUGGAUUUAUUGAAGACUAACUACUG
rnacentral:rRNA from 1 species